UACGAAGGGAGCUAGCGUUGUUCGGAAUCACUGGGCGUAAAGCGCACGUAGGCGGACGUGUCAGUCAGGGGUGAAAUCCCGGAGCUCAACUUCGGAACUGCCUUUGAUACAGCACGUCUUGAGUCCGGAAGAGGUGGGUGGAAUUCCUAGUGUAGAGGUGAAAUUCGUAGAUAUUCGCAAGAACACCAGUGGCGAAGGCGGCUCACUGGUCCGGUACUGACGCUGAGGUGCGAAAGCGUGGGGAGCAAACAGG
rnacentral:rRNA from 1 species